UACGAAGGUCCCGAGCGUUGUUCGGAAUCACUGGGCGUAAAGGGAGCGUAGGCGGCGUGGUAAGUCAGAUGUGAAAUCCCGGGGCUCAACCCCGGAACUGCAUCCGAUACUGCCGUGCUGGAGUGAUGGAGAGGUAGCUGGAAUUCACGGUGUAGCAGUGAAAUGCGUGGAUAUCGUGAGGAACACUCGUGGCGAAAGCGAGCUACUGGACAUUUACUGACGCUGAGGCUCGAAGGCCAGGGGAGCGAAAGGG
rnacentral:rRNA from 1 species